ACGCUCGACACCUACGGGGGCAGCAGUGGGGAAUAUUGCACAAUGGGGGAAACCCUGAUGCAGCGACGCCGCGUGGAGGAAGAAGGUCUUCGGAUUGUAAACUCCUGUUGUUGGGGAAAAAGAGGAUGGUACCCAACAAGGAAGUGACGGCUAACUACGUGCCAGCAGCCGACGGUAAUCUGAGGCGGGCUGGCAAGGC
rnacentral:rRNA from 1 species